rnacentral:rRNA from 1 species
UACAGAGGUCUCAAGCGUUGUUCGGAAUCACUGGGCGUAAAGGGUGCGUAGGCGGCACGGUAAGUCAGAGGUGAAAUCCCGGAGCUCAACUUCGGAAUUGCCUCCGAUACUGCCGUGCUUGAGGACUGGAGAGGAGAUUGGAAUUCACAGUGGAGCAGUGAAAUGCGUAGAUAUUGUGAGGAACACCAGUGGCGAAGGCGAAUCUCUGGACAGUUCCUGACGCUGAGGCACGAAGGCCAGGGGAGCAAACGGG